AAUCCAUGGUAAGGGCACCUUCUCAAAAGGUCCUUGUAUCUCUACCAUGUAUCGUGGAGUGUUUCUAAAUCCAUCUGCACAAAAUAAGAGAUAUCAUUAUGUAAUU
rnacentral:snoRNA from 1 species